CAAGUCGAACGCAGUAGCAAUACUGAGUGGCAGACGGGUGAGUAACAUGUGGGAAUCUGCCUUGUGGUUCAGGACAACAUUGGGAAACCGAUGCUAAUACUGGAUAAGCCCUUACGGGGAAAGUUUUAAUGCCAUAAGAUGAGCCCGCAUUUGAUUAGUUAGUUGGUGAGGUAAUGGCUCACCAAGACAAUGAUCAAUAGCUGAUCUGAGAGGAUGAUCAGCCACACUGGGACUGAGACACGGCCCAGACUCCUACGGGAGGCAGCAGUGGGGAAUCUUGCACAAUGGAGGAAACUCUGAUGCAGCGAUGCCGCGUGAGUGAAGAAGGCCUUUGGGUUGUAAAGCUCUUUUGUAGGGGAAGAUAAUGACUGUACCCUAAGAAUAAGGUCCGGCUAACUUCGUGCCAGCAGCCGCGGUAAUACGAAGGGACCUAGCGUAGUUCGGAAUUACUGGGCGUAAAGCGCGCGUAGGCCGUUGAGUUAGUUAAUUGUGAAAUCCCAAAGCUUAACUUUGGAACUGCAAUUAAAACUGCUCGACUAGAGUUUGAUAGAGGAAAGCGGAAUACAUAGUGUAGAGGUGAAAUUCGUAGAUAUUAUGUAGAACACCAGUUGCGAAGGCGGCUUUCUGGAUCAACACUGACGCUGAGGCGCGAAAGUAUGGGUAGCAAAGAGGAUUAGAUACCCUCGUAGUCCAUACCAUAAACGAUGAUUGCUAGAUGUUGGAAAUUUAUUUUCAGUAUCGCAGCUAACGCAUUAAGCAAUCCGCCUGGGGAGUACGACCGCAAGGUUAAAACUCAAAUGAAUUGACGG
rnacentral:rRNA from 1 species